GGGGUGUGCUUAGAGCAAGGAGCCGAAGCAGGCUUUUCUGUUUACAGCAAACCCCACAGGACUCUGGGUCAUUACAAUGAGGGGCACAAGGUUUGGGGCCUCCCUGUGAGCAAAUUCCCUACACGU